ACGUACACUCCUGCGGGAGGCAGCAGUGGGGAAUUUUGGACAAUAGGCGAAAGCCUGAUCCAGCCAUGCCGCGUGCAGGAUGAAGGCCUUCGGGUUGUAAACUGCUUUUGUACGGAACGAAACGGCCUUUUCUAAUAAAGAGGGCUAAUGACGGUACCGUAAGAAUAAGCACCGGCUAACUACGUGCCAGCAGCCGCGGUAAUACGUAGGGUGCAAGCGUUAAUCGGAAUUACUGGGCGUAAAGCGUGCGCAGGCGGUUAUGUAAGACAGUUGUGAAAUCCCCGGGCUCAACCUGGGAACUGCAUCUGUGACUGCAUAGCUAGAGUACGGUAGAGGGGGAUGGAAUUCCGCGUGUAGCAGUGAAAUGCGUAGAUAUGCGGAGGAACACCGAUGGCGAAGGCAAUCCCCUGGACCUGUACUGACGCUCAUGCACGAAAGCGUGGGGAGCAAACAGGAUUAGAUACCCCGGUAGUCCCAUGA
rnacentral:rRNA from 1 species